rfam:Vibrio fischeri ES114 chromosome I, complete sequence.
UCAUCACCACCAUCAUCCUGAUUAGUCUUUCGGGAGGAUACGUAUUAUCCGGAAGGCAAUUUGAAUUUCCUUCCGAUGAAUAAAAAUUCUAACCCUCGGAAGGUCAAACUUCUGAGGGUUUUU